rnacentral:lncRNA from 1 species
UUCGGUUUCUUCUUCUCUGGUCAAAAUACAGCCUUGCUGACUCAAAGAGAUAAAAAGGUGAGUGCACGUUCACUGAUAAACAAUAAGCAAAUUAAGCAAUCACCUGCUGCUAAAACCUAAAAGAACACCAAUCCAAAAAGAAGCAGCAAAAUCACUACUUAGCCCAAUUCGUAAAGUCAUAAACAAAACAGAAAAGAGAAAAUUGAAAACGAAAUUACCUAUCAUGAAAGGAUUGGGAAGAUCGGAUACUAAAAUUUCUUCAGUCGGUUCGAACCAGAUGUAAAAGCGCCGCCGCGAAGGAGAUUGGAAGACAAGGAGGCGUCGGAGAAGUCGAGGAGGAGAAGUAGAAGCGCCGACGCCACCAGGAAGGCGGAGAAGUCACGAGGACGGAUGAGAGGCGACGGAAAGGUUUUCUCGACAAAGGAGAAGAAAUGAUCGAAGGACAAAUUUUUUCCAAGCCAAAACUCUCUUCAAACCUACAGCCAAUCACAACCUGCCACAUACCCAA